CCGGGACGGGUCCGCGUCCCAUCAGCUAGUUGGUGAGGUAACGGCUCACCAAGGCAACGACGGGUAGCUGGUCUGAGAGGAUGGCCAGCCACACUGGAACUGAGACACGGUCCAGACUCCUACGGGAGGCAGCAGUGGGGAAUCUUGCGCAAUGGGCGAAAGCCUGACGCAGCGACGCCGCGUGGGCGAAGAAGGCCUUCGGGUUGUAAAGCCUGUGGGGGAGAACGAACCGUACGGGGCGGAACACCCUCCGUGCCUGACGGUACUCCUUUAGCAAGCAUCGGCUAACUCUGUGCCAGCAGCCGCGGUAAGACAGAGGAUGCAAACGUUGCUCGGAAUUACUGGGCGUAAAGCGCGUGUAGGCGGUCUGAUAAGUCGGACGUGAAAUCCCGGGGCUCAACCCCGGAAGAGCGCUCGAUACUGUCUGACUU
rnacentral:rRNA from 1 species